AUUUCCCUUUUUUCAUUGACCCAAGAAUCUGUAUCGGCCCCGAUCAGUGGAUCAAGAAGUCACAUGUUAUACAACUCCCCAACCAGUGAAGCUAGAGGCAGUCACAAUAUCCACGGUGGCAGAUCAAAGAGUCGCCGAUAUUACUUGAAGUUUCCACAUCAUUUGAAUAAAGUUCAACCGGUGAUGUCAUCCAAUAUAAAGCCGCACCGCAAUCCGGGUCUCAGAAUUGUUGUCGGCGAGCCUGUAAACGAUAUAUCCGAAGCGAAACUCUAUCAUCUGUUGCCUUACGAAGCUGUAGAAGAUACGAACACACCCGAAAGGCAAGCGUACAGGUUCAAAGUCUUCUAUGGCUCCAAGUUUGUACCGCAUAAGAAGAAAACGGCGCUGCACCGGAGGACUAAGAACAAAUCAAAACUUCCUUCUUUGAAACGCAUGCAUUCUUAUCAGUAAACGGUGGAAUGGAGGCGCAAGAGUGCUGGUGGGUGUAGUGAUGUGAGCGGGGACAGUGGCUGGAGGUGUAUGAGAGUGGGGCGGGGGGUAAAAGAAGCAGAGAAUGUGUUAGUAGUGAUAGUGAUGGACGGAAAUAUUAAAAACAAAAGAUGGAAGAGUAUGCAUGUAAGAAGGGAAGAGAGAGGGAGAGAGAUGAGAGGAGAGAGGAGACAGGCGUGGGCAGAAAGCAAUAAUGAAUGCAAGAAUAUGAGGAAAACUAGAAAAACAAGACACAGGUCAAUAUAUUUGUUUUCUGUAAUUUUUUUUUGGUGUCAUUUUCUUUUUUCAAAAUUGAUUUCACAUAUAAAAAUCACUCACUUUAUUUACAUCAUCAAACAACAAUAACAACAACAACAACAACAACAACAACAACAACAACAUCAACAAAAUGAUAACGACGACGACGACGACGACCAGAAAUAACAACAAUAGGCAUGGUAGCAGCAGCAGCAGCAACAACAACAACAUUAAAGAAACCCACCACCACAUCAACAACAACAGUAGCAACAAGCUGAACGAAAAGUACAGCACCAUCAAGAAAUAUGCCGUGUUAGUGUUGUUUUGCCACUAAAAUUCAGUUGUUAUGACAGCUUUCAUGUUGUUGCUAUGGUUAUUUAGUUACUAUGGUGUCUAAUAUACAUUAGAGGAACUCAAUAAACU